rnacentral:rRNA from 1 species
UACGUAGGGUGCGAGCGUUAAUCGGAAUACUGGGCGUAAAGCGUGCGCAGGCGGUUCGCUAAGACCGAUGUGAAAUCCCCGGCUUAACUGGGAACUGCAUUGUGACUGGCGGCUAGAGUAUGCAGAGGGGGGUAGAAUUCCACGUGUAGCAGUGAAAUGCGUAGAGAUGUGGAGGAAUACCGAUGGCGAAGGCAGCCCCUGGCCAAUACUGACGCUCAUGCACGAAAGCGUGGGAGCAAACAGG